UAACAAGGAUUCCCCUAGUAACUGCGAGUGAAGCGGGAAAAGCUCAAAUUUAAAAUCUGGCGGUCUCCGGCCGUCCGAGUUGUAAUUUAGAGAAGCGUUAUCCGUGCUGGACCGUGUAUAAGUCUCCUGGAAUGGAGCGUCAUAGAGGGUGAGAAUCCCGUCUUUGACACGGACUACCAGUGCAUUGUGAUGCGCUCUCGACGAGUCGAGUUGUUUGGGAAUGCAGCUCAAAAUGGGUGGUAAAUGCCAUCUAAAGCUAAAUAUUGGCGAGAGACCGAUAGCGAACAAGUACCGUGAGGGAAAGAUGAAAAGAACUUUGGAAAGAGAGUUAAACAGUACGUGAAAUUGUCGAAAGGGAAACGGUUGCAGUCAGUCGCGUCCGCCGGGGAUCAACCUUGCUUUUGCUUGGCGUAUUUCCCGGUGGAUGGGUCAGCAUCAGUUUUGACCGCAGUUGAAAGGCUGGAGGAAUGUGGCACCUUCGGGUGUGUUAUAGCCUCCUGUCAUAUGCUGCGGUUGGGACUGAGGAACUCAGCACGCCGCAAGGCCGGGAUUCGUCCACGUUCGUGCUUAGGAUGCUGGCGUAA
rnacentral:rRNA from 1 species